rnacentral:rRNA from 1 species
ACGCUCGACACCUACUGGAGGCAGCAGUGGGGAAUAUUGCACAAUGGGGGAAACCCUGAUGCAGCGACGCCGCGUGAAGGAAGAAGUAUCUCGGUAUGUAAACUUCUAUCAGCAGGGAAGAAAGUGACGGUACCUGACUAAGAAGCCCCGGCUAACUACGUGUCAGCAGCCGCGGUAAUCUGAGGCGGCGUGGCAAGGC